CUGUUAAGACUCUAUAAUUCGAUUUGUAUCGGAACCAAUGUUAAGUCGAAAUUCCGACCUAUAAUUAAUUAUUGAAUUUUUACUUAUUUGGGUUUAACUGCUUGGGCUGGAAACUCUGCUGCUGUGCUGUAGUCAGGCUUAUACAGGAUGGAUACAUUCAAUGGAAAAACACUUGUAGUUGAUUGACUUUCACGAUUUAUUCAAGAUAAAGUUUUAUAGGUAUCGGGAGCAACUUGCAACUUAAGCCUGGAUAACUCUUGUCGACGGCUAGGAGCGUCGUACAAGAGUCCAGAUCGAGUGUAUAAUUACAACUGGUCGCUCGGCGUAUACAGGGGAUACUCAUUAACCUCGCUGAUCUACUUAUUAAUCUCAGUCGUCAGUUUUCGGCUUCGUAACGAUUCCGCUGAUAUUGCUUAAAUGCAAUACGUCGUAGAUAAAUUUAAACGUUUUCUAUCACAAACAUUUAAUAGCCAUUGUUUAAAAUUGUCAUCAUUAUUGGAUACACGAAGUUUGGAUUCAAUAUCAUGCGUCUAAAAUUCGUCCAUAAAUAGCCAUACUUUACUGAAUUUUCGAUAACUUCAAUUCGACUACCGUGUCGAACUAUUGGUAAUGUUUGUCUAAAAUCUCUUAAAAAGAGUAUAGAUUUUCCACCAAAUAUUACUGUUACGUCACAUAAAUCUUGAAGAAAAUGAUUAACUGCUUUAAAAGCAAAUUUCGGUGUCAUUGAUAUUUCAACCCAUAUUAUAAUUUGUACAUCUUUAAGUUUUCAGUCAUUAAUAUUCAGUGGCAAUUUAAAUGUCGUAUGUACUGUGCUUCCAUUACUAAGUAAGAUUGCUGCAAUAAUGGUCCAAGCAACAUAUAAAAAAGCAAAUGAGUACACUACUACAACUGCUCCUUCAGAGAUGAUUAAAAAAUUACGUUUUAUUGAUUUAGCUACAAAAACUAGAGCAUCAACGUCAUUCACUGAAGAUUAUCGUCAACAUUAAAAUUCAACAAUGGAUUCAUUUAAUGCAAUAAAUAAUUUGCAUAAACAUAAAAGAAAAUAUAGAUGUACAAGAAGCGGAAAAAGACAUCAAUUCAAGAUUUUAAACAAAGAUCGAAAGGCGACCCAAAAAAAAUUUGCAAACUAUGUUUUUAGCAAUGUUGAUUGCGGCUUAUAAUACAUCAAUAUUAUUAAAAUUUGUACUGUAUUUUCUCGAAAAAAUUUACAAAUAGAGUAUAUAUAAAAAAUGUAUAUAAAAUACAUUAGGAUCUGUGAAAUAAACUUCUCAGCGCCGUUAUAAUCCGUUA